rnacentral:rRNA from 1 species
UACGUAGGGGGCGAGCGUUGUCCGGAUUUAUUGGGCGUAAAGCGCGUGUAGGCGGCCACGCAGGUCCGCUGUGAAAACUCGAGGCUCAACCUCGAGAUGUCGGUGGAAACCGCGUGGCUAGAGUCCGGAAGAGGAGAGUGGAAUUCCUGGUGUAGCGGUGAAAUGCGCAGAUAUCAGGAAGAACACCGAUGGCGAAGGCAGCUCUUUGGGACGGUACUGACGCUGAGACGCGAAAGCGUGGGGAGCGAACAGG